rnacentral:rRNA from 1 species
UACGAAGGGGGCGAGCGUUGUUCGGAUUUACUGGGCGUAAAGGGCGCGUAGGCGCUUGUCAGUCAGGCGUGAAAGCCCCGGGCUCAACCUGGGAACGGCGCUUGGGACGGCGAGGCUGGAGUUCGGGAGAGGAGAGUGGAAUUCCCAGUGUAGAGGUGAAAUGCGUAGAGAUCGGAAAGAACACCAACGGCGAAAGCACUCUGCUGGGCCGACACUGACACUGAGAGACGAAAGCUAGGGGAGCGAAUGGG